GGUUGUAUAGUGUAGCGGUUAGCACGUGAGAUUCUGAACCCCAGCCCUGGUUCGAAUCCUGGUACGACCU
rnacentral:tRNA from 1 species